GCAGGGAGCGGGUGCCUGUUAGGAGCCCGGCUGCUGGCCUCCUCUCGUAGCCUUUUGGGGGUUCUUUUUUGUACUAGCAGCAGGACAGCCUCUUCUCCGCUUCAGAAGCCUGGCAAAGUAAAAUAACGCGCCCGCUCCCCGCAGGCUGCGGGGCAGGGAGCUGGGGCGGCGGGGCGGAGCUGCUGGCCUAACCCCCGCCGGCCCUCGCUGGCCACUUUCCUGCGUUCAGGGUUUCUCUUUUCUUACCCUCGGAUUACAUCACACCACUAGACGAUAUGUUUAAAAUUUUAUUUUAAGAGAAAGAGACCCCAGCUGCCUGGAAACCCAGGCCGAGCCCAUUUGGUACAACCACAGCGCGGAGCUCUCCAGCGCCGGAGGAGGCCGGAGGCCCCAGGCCGCGAGGUUCGAGGUUCGCAGCCCCAGGCCCGAGCCCGCUCAGGACGCCUCUCCUUGAGGAUCCCGGGGGCCCAAGUACAAUUCUGAGAACUGUGGAACUUCAUCCUUUCAUUUUAGAUUCUCCUGCCUUUGCUUGAUGGAGUCAUGUCCAUUUUACUGUCCUACUGCCGGUGCCCUGUCUUGUCUAUACCAAGGGGAGAGGAAGACUCCAAACCUGCUGGUUUAAGGGAGCUCUCCCAGGAACCUGCUCUUUCUUUUGUCUCUGCCAGCUCAUCCAGCACAAGGUAG
rnacentral:lncRNA from 1 species